UUCAUGCGUUGCCAAAAGGGCGAACGAAAUAGAGCAAAUUCUGUUAUCUAUCAACACCAAAAUUCAAUCUUUUCGCAUUCUCUCAAUCCUAGAUAUCCAUCGUUUUCUCUGAAUCGAUAUCUUUGCUCUUCGAGAAAUUUCGCUUGUUUUUUUGCUUCGGAGGUUUUUUCAAAACGAAUUUUCUAGGGGUUUUUUUUUGAGAAUUCAUCAGCCAUGGUUUACGAUUCGAUCGCCAACGCUUCGAUCCUGACUUCGGUUUCUAAUCCGAAGGAAAUUUGCAAGAAAAAGCGGGUGAAUAGGACCGCCAAAUUUAAGCAUAGCAAACUUCAUGUUCAUCGUGAACAGUGACUUUCUCAAGAUGUAUUGCUCUUAUGGUUAAUCAAAAAAAAUCUUAUAGGGAAGAACAAGGGGUUUAAGGAAGAAAACAAAGGCAAUGUUCGUGCAAAAAUGCCAGACAUGCAUACCCCAAACAAGGGAGAUCGAUCAUUGGUAAAAUUAGUGAUUAAUUCUGGUGGUGAAGAGAACGAUGGUUUGAUGAAUCAUUACAGAGAUUCCAAUAACCUUACUAGUCAUACAAGCAGCUUGGGGAGUAACAGAUCAGUGACUAAUUUCACGAGUAGUAGUAGCCGGAGCAGAAACAGUAGCAGUGGUGGUUGUUAUUCAGAAAGUAUGACAGAAGAAGAUGAUGGUGACGAUGGAUGCCACCAUCGAAUUGAUUAUCCCCACUCCUUCUGCUAGAAUGUAAGUGGAUAUUUUAAUUGUAAUUACAUAAUUGGCCUUUUUUAGGGUGUUUGUGUAUUUUGUAUAUGGUUGUAACCAUUCAUGACAAUUCUUACACCUUGGAGGUUUUAUUAUUAGUGGUUACAACAGCUAGUACACGCUUCGAUGGCAAGUUUUUGCUUUGUGGUGGAAGAGACAUCUUGUGGGUGUAUCCAUAAUGCUCUCUACUUCCUUCAGUUAUAUCAGCAUUGUCUUUACCCUCAUGUCAAAGCCUUUAUCUCAUGCUGCACAAGAGCAUUUCCUGCACCGGACAAUUUGUGGGAAUGUUCACUAACCUUAAUGGUGCAUGCAACGCUUAUGUAUCCUAAUCAACACAAAGCUUGAGAUCACUUCAAAAAGAACAAGUGGAUAUACAAGCACUUGCACAUGUUGUUGAGCUUACAAGACAAGGGGCAGUUGACAGCUUAAAAUUUGCAAAGGGUGAUCUAUUCCAAGCAUUUCAAGUAAGCUUACAUUAUAAUGGUCAAUUAGAAUUGCUACUCAUUCAGUCAUUCUGUGAAAUGACAUUUUUAACCCUGGUUGUUAACAUAAUGAAGUGUGUCGGAUGAGAUUAGAUAUCACCAUGCUUGAUGAACUUAUUCAUGAGUAUUGUGUGUAUAGGGGCAUUGUCAGCUCUGGUGCUCCAAACCCUUCAUGUGAAGGAAUGAAGAUAAGACAUGAACCAUCGGAAUCGGAAUCCACUUUAUCUGUUGAAGCCAGAAGUGGAUCCAAUAAGCUUGUUGAUGCUGACAUGGAUUCACCUGGCACUGAAGAACGAUACCUAUGUGGCACAAUGAGCGACAACCAUGAAGACUGUAGUACAAGUGGCAACAAGUGAGCAACAACCAUGUUUUUUUAAUGCAUUUAGCUUAUGAACUUUUAGGUUAAAUACAAGGAUGUAAGGAGAGUCAAACAACUUCCAAUUCCUAUUACAAUAUUGAAAUAAAGGAUGUGUAUCUUACUCCCUGGAUACUUAGUUGUAAUUAAGUUGAAUGGAAAUGCCAUAUGUAGGUGGUUACAGUCAUGAAAUACACUAGUUCUAGUAAUGUUUUGUAAAGAAAAUAUGAGCAAGUUUCAAGAUAAUAGAACACAUUUAUUGGAAGCUAAUAUGAGGUUUGAUUGAUUGUAUUGGGUUUA